GGAGUAUCUUGAUUUGUGUUUUGGUUGGAUGUAUGGGGUGGAAAAGGCUAAAAUGAUAAUUGCUAAACUGCAUGAACUCAUAGGCAAAUUGUUUGAUUAUUACAAGUCAGUGCAGCCUAUUGGUUUUGUUUCUAGUGAUUCCUCCUCUAGCUCCACUAAUACAAUGCAAAGUGAUGUUGUUACUUUCGGUGUUGGAGGUAAUGUGGAUAUGGAUGCUUUGCACCGAAGAAGGGUUAAAAGAAGGCAAAGUGAACAUAACUCAAGUUAGUUGGUAAGAUACUUAGAAGAUGAGGUUGAAGAUGAUUAUGAAGGAUUUGAACUUUUGAAAUGGUGGAAAAGUAAGAGCACAAAGUACAUUGUUCUUUCUCUCAUGGCUAGGGAUAUAUUAGCGAUUCCGAUAUCUACUGUUUCUUCUGAGUCUGCCUUUAGCACUGGAGGUCGUGUUAUUGAUCCAUAUCGUAGUUCUUUGAAAGCUGAAACAGUUGAGGCUUUGAUCUGUACUCAAAAUUGGAUCAAGCCUGUCACAAGGUCUGUUUUAGAUGAAAGUAAAGCAUUUGAUGUGCUGGAAUUUGAAACAGAAAUGUCAUAUUUGAAUGGUCUCGAGGAGUUUGCAGCUGAAUCCCUUGACGAGUAACUAGUUUGGUGGAGAUGGAGAAUAUAAACGAUGAAGUCAGGACUCUUUUGAAUUGUGGGGAAUGUUAAUGAUGACAUCAAGACUCUUUUCUUGUUAUGUUUUGGGCUCUUUUUUGUAUUUGAUGAGACAUGAUUUUGGUUUAUUUUGACUUGGUUGUUGCAAUUUGUCUCUUGAACAUUUGUUGUUUUCUUUUGCCAAGACUUUAGCUAAUUUAAGAUGAUGCACUUUUUGAGUAUUUUUAUUCUAAUGCAAUUUUAUGUUAUGCAAUGUCUUUAAAUUUUUG